rnacentral:misc_RNA from 1 species
AAGUCGUAACAAGGUUUCCGUAGGUGAACCUGCGGAAGAAUCAUUAAUGAAUUUUAGGACUCUCUUUUUAGAGGUCCGACCCUUUCAUUUCCAUACACUGUGCACACACUUCUUUUCACACAUUUUAACACUAUAGUAUAAGAAUGUAACAGUCUCUUUAUUGAGCAUAAAUAAAAUAAA